UACGGGGGGGGUAAGCGGUUGUUCGGAAUUACUGGGCGUAAAGGGCUCGUAGGCGGCCAACUAAGUCAGACGUGAAAUCCCUCAGCUUAACUGGGGAACUGCGUCUGAUACUGGAUGGCUUGGAUUCGGGAGAGGAAUGCGGAAUUCCAGGUGUAGCGGUGAAAUGCGUAGAUAUCUGGAGGAACACCGGUGGCGAAGGCGGCAUUCUGGACCGACAUUGACGCUGAGGAGCGAAAGCCAGGGGAGCAAACGGG
rnacentral:rRNA from 1 species